rnacentral:rRNA from 1 species
UCGAGCGGUAAGGCCUUUCGGGGUACACGAGCGGCGAACGGGUGAGUAACACGUGGGUGAUCUGCCUUGCACUUCGGGAUAAGCCUGGGAAACUGGGUCUAAUACCGGAUAUGACCUCCGAUCGCAUGGUCGGUGGUGGAAAGAUUUAUCGGUGCGAGAUGGGCCCGCGGCCUAUCAGCUUGUUGGUGAGGUAACGGCUCACCAAGGCGACGACGGGUAGCCGACCUGAGAGGGUGACCGGCCACACUGGGACUGAGACACGGCCCAGACUCCUACGGGAGGCAGCAGUGGGGAAUAUUGCACAAUGGGCGAAAGCCUGAUGCAGCGACGCCGCGUGAGGGAUGACGGCCUUCGGGUUGUAAACCUCUUUUGACAGGGACGAAGCGCAAGUGACUGUACCUGUAGAAUAAGGACCGGCCAACUACGUGCCAGCAGCCGCGGUAAUACGUAGGGUCCGAGCGUUGUCCGGAAUUACUGGGCGUAAAGAGCUUGUAGGCGGUUCGUCGCGUCUUUUGUGAAAACUUGGGGCUCAACCUUAAGCUUGCAGGCGAUACGGGCGGACUAGAGUACUUCAGGGGAGACUGGAAUUCCUGGUGUAGCGGUGAAAUGCGCAGAUAUCAGGAGGAACACCGGUGGCGAAGGCGGGUCUCUGGGAAGUAACUGACGCUGAGAAGCGAAAGCAUGGGUAGCAAACAGGAUUAGAUACCCUGGUAGUCCAUGCCGUAAACGGUGGGUACUAGGUGUGGGGCUCCUUCCACGGACUCCGUGCCGUAGCUAA